rnacentral:lncRNA from 1 species
CUAAUUUUUGUAUUUUUAGAAGAGACAGGGUUUUCUCAUUCAGCAUUUACCUUCGGUAUAGAAAGCCGUAUCAGUCAGUCCAAUAUAAAUGGUGCCCUCGUCCCACCUGCUGCAUUGAUUUCUAUCAUCCAGAAAGGUCUACAGUAUGUAGAAGCAGAAGUUAGUAUUAAUGAGGAUGGUACUUUCUUUGAUGGUCGACCAAUGAGUCUGUCCCUGAUAGACGCCUUAAUGCCUGAUGUAGUACAAACAAGACAACAAGCUUAUAGCGAUAAGCUUAAACAGCAACAGGCAGCAGCUGCCACAGCCAACCAACAAGGAUCUGCAAAAAAAAAAAAAAAAAAAAAAAAAAAAAAAAAUGCAGAAAACACAGCAAAUGGGGAGGAGAAUGGAGCACAUAUUAUAGCAAAUAAUCAUACUGAUACGAUGGAAGUGGAUGGAGAUAUUGAAAUCCCUCCUAAUAAAGCA